rnacentral:rRNA from 1 species
UACGUAGGGUGCAAGCGUUAAUCGGAAUUACUGGGCGUAAAGCGUGCGCAGGCGGCUUUGCAAGACAGAUGUGAAAUCCCCAGGCUUAACCUGGGAACUGCAUUUGUGACUGCAUGGCUGGAGUGCGGCAGAGGGGGAUGGAAUUCCGCGUGUAGCAGUGAAAUGCGUAGAUAUGCGGAGGAACACCGAUGGCGAAGGCGAUCCCCUGGGCCUGCACUGACGCUCAUGCACGAAAGCGUGGGGAGCAAACAGG